CGCAUCCUCACGCGACGACGGGUAGCCGGCCUGAGAGGGUGACCGGCCACACUGGGACUGAGACACGGCCCAGACUCCUACGGGAGGCAGCAGUGGGGAAUAUUGCACAAUGGGCGAAAGCCUGAUGCAGCGACGCCGCGUGAGGGAUGACGGCCUUCGGGUUGUAAACCUCUUUCAGUAGGGAAGAAGCGAAAGUGUCGGUACCUGCAGAAGAAGCGCCGGCUAACUACGUGCCAGCAGCCGCGGUAAUACGUAGGGCGCAAGCGUUAUCCGGAUUUAUUGGGCGUAAAGAGCUCGUAGGCGGUUUGUCGCGUCUGCCGUGAAAGUCCGAGGCUCAACCUCGGAUCUGCGGUGGGUACGGGCAGACUAGAGUGAUGUAGGGGAGACUGGAAUUCCUGGUGUAGCGGUGAAAUGCGCAGAUAUCAGGAGGAACACCGAUGGCGAAGGCAGGUCUCUGGGCAUCUACUGACGCUGAGGAGCGAAAGCAUGGGGAGCGAACAGGAUUAGAUACCCUGGUAGUCCAUGCCGUAAACGUUGGGCACUAGGUGUGGGGAACAUUCCACGUUUUCCGCGCCGUA
rnacentral:rRNA from 1 species